GGCCGACGCAGUAAGCCCAGCAGUUACCCAUCGCAUUGUCGGGGGUUGAUUGUAUCGGCUCCCUCUCCCCCCGGCAUCUGCUGGAGCUCAAUAAAAAGGCGACAUCUUUCUACAACAACUUCCUCUUUCAUCAGCUGAUCGUCUCUCCAGGGAUGCUCUCCAGGCCCUCCAGCAGUGACAGCAUGCGACUCUCGAUGUCAGCCACCUUCUCAAAGGUGCUGAGGUUGGUCAUACGGUCGUCCACGCAGCUCCGGUGGACCUUUGCCACUUUCUCACCGAGAGCAUCCAACAUCGCAUCCUCCAAAAUAGACAAAAGUUUGGGGACACGUGGAGCUGAACCUUCUGCUGGAGCUUGGCGGCUCUCGCUCGCUCUCUUUCUCUUCUCUGCUUCACGUCAUCAAUCUGCACUUUGAUCUGCAGGUAAUCUUCAUCACUGCAAAAAGAGAUGAUUGCUUUGAAGUGAUGAAGAGGAAGUUCAGAUUCCAUUUACAGGUCUGGAAUUUGAAUGCAAACAUGAAGAAGGUGGAAUUGAAUGAACUAUAAGUAGCUGAGAUCUGAAAAGGUCAUACAAAGGGCUCACAUCUCUCUCCUCGUGGCCUCUAUUGCAUGUUGGAGCUCCUCCAGCUUCUCCUCCACCCUCGCAGAGUCCUGGAUUAGAGCGAGGUUCUGCUCGGUCAGCUCCGCCAUCAGGUCCAGCAGCUGCUGGGGGUCGGUGAAGUACAUUCCUGGAUCAUCCUAUGAAAUAGAAAAUGGACAAGCUCCACCACUGCAGGAACAGCAGCUAUGAUAUGAACAAAGAGGAGCUGACCUCAUAGUCAGAGCUGUCAUCAGUGCCUCUGAAAUUACAAAUAAAGACAAUUAUUCA